rnacentral:lncRNA from 1 species
UGUAGCCAUGCACUACAGUAGCAAUUCGAAUGGCACGAAGCUGAGCACCAGAGACAUAACCUCACUCCUCUGGCUAUAAAAAGCCAGCCUCGGGUGCUCACUCUCACCACCCGAGAAACACGUUCACUCACUCGCUCACUUACUCUCACUUCGCGUAUACCGUAUACAGCCAUACGCACAAACUGAGCUCGAGUGUCGUCGCAAGACGAGGUGAGCAGCUCAUGAGCAUCUCCUUGCUCUUCUCUGUCUUUCUGUAGUAUUUUUCUGUAUUUUUUUUUUGUAUUUGUCUGUACCGAUUCAUUGCCAAGAACUCUACGAAUAGAACCAUGACAUACAGAAGAGCUCUAAUGACCCCUGCUAAUUUCUCUCUAACCAUGCAUGUGUGGGCCAUAAGCAUUAACUCCAAAUAGUACAUGCAUGCAUGCAACAUGCACUACCAGCCAAAAUUCAUCUUGUGAAGCAUGUAUUUCUUAAUCACCGUUAGCCUUUUUCGCAUGAUUAAAUUCUGGCCAUUUCACAAAUACGACAUGCUAACUCUGAUUUCAAUAAUUCUUUUUCCUAAAUUCAUCUAAAAUCAUGAUCUACCUUCCAUAUUAAUUUCAUGAUUUUUAGAGCUUAUUUGAAUUUAUGUGAUUAUUUAUCUGUGCUUGUUGUCUGUGUCGUUCGUCGCGUAUUUUAGCUGACGGAGUGAACGAGCCGGAAAACGAGAACGUUGGAGACGAGUACCGCGAGUUUGACGCUGAGGACCCGGACUGUCAGCAAGAGUUUGCUGAGGACGCCGACGGAGGCAAGUCCAACCGAUCCCCUUUGAUGCAUAUUGAUCCUAUUUUUAAACACAACCCGUAGAAGCCGUUUUAAAUAUUGCAUGUACGAUAUAUGUACGAAGUAUUUUCGCUGCUUAGUUAAAACCUGUUGAAUAGCCAUCCUUGAAUUGAUAUUACCCGGUAAUUGUCUUGUUCGAACCUAGGAACAAAUAAUAUGCUAUGACAGAAAUUUUAUUAUUUAGCAUGCUU